rnacentral:lncRNA from 1 species
GAGCUGGAAACCCAAGAGGCCCAGAAAGCCAGUGUGCAAUGCUCUGCCCUAAAGAUGGGGCUGUGUGAGAGUGAGGGUGUCGGUAUUCCUGGACGUCGGUGACAAGAGCGUCUGGAAGAUGUAACCUAAUCACCAUUGCUCUGUGUGAGAAACCAGGCUGUGCCUUUGGCAUCUCUUUAAGGAGGAGCACUCCAGAGAUGUGUGAGAGCCUGCUGAGGGCUGUUGUUCACCAGGGACACAGGAAAGGGCAUCUCCAGAAGUGUAAUUGGACCAGCACCGCAUGCAAUUACCUGUCUGCAUGUCCUCUGGCCACUUAAAUGAUGUUUUUAUUUAAAGCAUGAUGAAUCCAGGAAGUUUUUGAUUACCUGUGAUAACGGGGGUCAAGGGUCAGUUGAAUAAUCGAAAUGAAAACCUUACUCCUCUUGAGAUGUCUCUCCUUUCCAUCCUUUUCCAAAGCCCCCUUGGACAGGGUCCAGGCUCUAGUGUCCCGCUGGAAAGGAUACUGUGCUGCAAGCCCCAUCCCACCCCAGUGAAGACAUGGCUCUGAAGAGUGGCACUGAAGCAAAGCAGCCUCCCUGCGGU